AUUCAGAUCCCAUCCUCAAACUCUCCUUCUCAUUCUCUCGUCGCGAAGACGAACAAAACGGCGGCGGCGCAACCUUCUCUUACAAAAUCUAACGGCGCGCCACCGUGAAACAAUCGAAGCUCCACCUCCCUCGCACCUAUCCCCUCCAAAUUCGAACCUAAUCUCAAUCGAUUUCACUUUGCCAAUUCUCCAUCUACGCUAGAAUCUGAAAAUCCUACGUCUACAGAAUUCAUGGGACAUCAAACGCUAUAAUUAGGUGAGAAGAAGGUGAAAUGAACCUGAUUGAAGCUCGAUGAAGAAAACAGAAGGCUAGAAGUUCCGCGCUUGCCGUUGUGCGAAAUACGCGAUAAGCAGAAGAUUUCUUCAGAUGAUUCUUGAUUUCGCGUGCCUCGUUCUUCCUUCUCCUUCCUUUACUCUUUCUUUGUCAUGAUUCGAUUUCCGUUGUUGUAUUGGUGUUGUAAGGCAGAUGAUGAUGAACAUUGUUUGUCGAACUUGCAGGUAAUGAUGAUUAUCGAUGCUGAUAGAAGAUUAUUGGUGAUGAUUGAAGCUGAAGAUGAAAGUUGCAGAGGUGGUGAUAUGCGUUGGAGGCUCGAUGAGAAGGUAAGACGAAGAUGAUGUUGUUGUUCGCAGUGACGAUAUCGAUCGAAGAGUUGCGUGAAGUUGUUAGAGUAGUAUGAAGGAGAAAAUGGAGGUUCGUAGUUUGUUGAUCGAAGAAGAUUGAAGCAGGUUGUGAUGGAGAUCGAAAUUGCCGCGGAUCCAAAGAUGUUGAUGCCGAGCAAUUGAGAUUGUUUUCAGAUGGUGAUGAAGAGUGUGGAGAAGAUGAUGAAGUUGCAGAGAGUGAGGAUUGGAAGAGAGAAGAAGAUGAUGAUGGUUAUGAAGGUGGAGGAGAAUGGUGGAGGUGAGAGUGUGGUGGUUAUGGUGUAGGUGAAGGAUGAGCGUGAAUGAGUGUGGAAGUUCAGAAAUUGUGAAAAUGGAUCCAGAGAGAAGAUGAAAGAGGUGAAGAGUGAGUUAUAUAGAGGAGAGGGAUCUGAGUUCAGUUAGAGAGAAAAGAUGUGAGCCAUUAGAUUGAGUGAAGUGGUUAUGAAAUUGAUGGUGAGAUUGAGAUCUGAAAAAGGUUCGGUUCUCAUUUCAUUUGGAGCUGCGGUUCAAUUGGUUUUCUUUCGGCGCCGACUCGGUUUUUUUGUAUAACACAGAGGCUGGUUUGUUUUCUUUGGAUGUGUUAUGUUGAAUACUGUCAGUAGGAAUUUCUUUGUUCAAGUCAAAUUGCAAAGUAUGACAGGUGUGUUUUAAAUGGUUCUAAGCUAUGAUUUGAUGCAGAUUUCUUAUGCUGUUUCUUUUGAAUUAUAUGCAGGGCUGCCAAUGAAUGUAUGGUUCACUUGAAUUGGGUCAUUGCAAUGUUUCUGGACUGUUUUGGCUUGGCUGUACUUGCAGGUCUGAUUUUUUCCAACUUGGAGUUGCUUGGUUUGGUUUACUGCAGCAGGGAUGGAAAUGGAAUUGCGUAGCUGAAUCGGGAAUUUCUCUGUAUUGAUGCAUAGCCGUUUGGGAUCAGUUUCAUUGUGAAGACCCCUUUUUGUGUGUAAUUCUGUGAAGGAUUUGAAUGUAUAUUUGUAUGGAUUGUAAUGAAAUGUAAUGGUAUUGUAUGAACAUUGUAUGAAUUUUGAUGAUGUAUAAA